GAUGAACGCUGGCGGCGUGCCUAAUACAUGCCAGUCGAGCGAACAGACGAGGAGCUUGCUCCUCUGACGUUAGCGGCGGACGGGUGAGUAACACGUGGAUAACCUACCUAUAAGACUGGGAUAACUUCGGGAAACCGGAGCUAAUACCGGAUAAUAUAUUGAACCGCAUGGUUCAAUAGUGAAAGACGGUUUUGCUGACACUUAUAGAUGGAUCCGCGCCGCAUUAGCUAGUUGGUAAGGUAACGGCUUACCAAGGCGACGAUGCGUAGCCGACCUGAGAGGGUGAUCGGCCACACUGGAACUGAGACACGGUCCAGACUCCUACGGGAGGCAGCAGUAGGGAAUCUUCCGCAAUGGGCGAAAGCCUGACGGAGCAACGCCGCGUGAGUGAUGAAGGUCUUCGGAUCGUAAAACUCUGUUAUUAGGGAAGAACAAAUGUGUAAGUAACUAUGCACGUCUUGACGGUACCUAAUCAGAAAGCCACGGCUAACUACGUG
rnacentral:rRNA from 1 species